rnacentral:misc_RNA from 1 species
AACGCACCUUGCGCUCUCUGGUAUUCCGGAGAGCACGCCUGUUCGAGUGUCAUGAAACUCUCAAGCAGAAUUAACUUUAUUGUUUAAUUCUUGUUUGGAUUUGGACUCUUGCCGCGUUACUGCGGCUGGUCUUAAAAGUAUUAGCUGGUCUGUAAGAACCUUGGGUUUGACUUGGCGUGAUAAAUAUUCGCUGAGGACACUUUGGUGGCCUAAUUUCUUACUGGAUUGCUUCUAAUCGUCUUUACCGACAACUUAAAUUUCAAAUCUGACCUCGAAUCAGGUGGGACUACCCGCUGAACUUAA